UGUCUCUGUGUACUUUCUUAUGUACACAUCACUCUUUACGGCAGAGCAAUUAGUCUGAAAUUGACAUGACGCAACGCCGGCUCCGCCCCCAGGCGGAAGUAGAGCGAACCUACAAACAAACAACGUGAAGGCACAGGAAGUGAAACUCAACGCAUUACACACGACAUUUUUUGAGUCAAUUUUGCCUUAUCAGCCAACACUGAGGCAAUGACGAAAGACAAAAAUAUUCUCCAACGAGUUGUACAUCAGGUCGUUAAGGUUAUUUGCGGGAAACGGUGGAGAAUCAACUUUAAACCAGAGAAUGAAUGAGGGUCACAAAGUCUCCCAUGUGACUGUGGACGAUGAUGAGUCAGACACGUUUUGCGUACAAAGCAAGAACCGUCCAGCCUCCUCCAGCCCCUGACCCCCCUGUCUGCUCUGCUUGCAGGGGUCAGUGAGUUUCCCCUCAAAGAGGUUAGUUAGUGUUGGAGCAGAGGGUGUGGCAUGUUGGCCUGCGUCUUUGAUCGCUACACGGCUUACAAUCCAUUUUCUUCCACCUGAUGAGCUUCGGGCUGACCUCGGGGUCCAACACACCUCAUGUGGAGAAACAUUUCCACAGAGAAAUCACCCAAUUUUCCCCAAUUUUGUUCUUCUCUUUGAUUUUUUGGGGGGAACUUUUUUUUUUUUUUUAGCAAUCUGUUGAAAUCUUAUUUUCCUUCAUCUCAUCUAGCAGCUUAUUGUCACAAAUCUGUUCCACCUUCAGUUUCAGUUUGUAAAUAUGAUAAAAAGACUUAAAUGCUGCAGCUAAAGACUGACCACAGUCUGCAAACCAAAUAUAAUUAGGCUAAAACAAAUCCACAAUGAUAUUAAAACCCAAUGUUAGAGUCCAGCACCUGUGGAUUUAAUCAGUUAUAUAAUACUGACCCUAUUAACCCUCCUGGUUUUAAUAUUCCUUAAAACCAGAUUGACUGAUGAUAAAAAUGAGGUUUUUGCAGGAUUGAACCGUAACAAUGCUGCCACCUGCUGUUUAUGCUGCUGUACUGUUUCUGCAGAUUAAACCUCUCACUUCAUGAAUUUAAAGUCGCAUAAGUAUUAUGAGCUUAAUGGGAAAGCUUGUGGCUUUUAUUUCAGGAUAAUAGUAUUCAAGCUAUUGGACGUAUUUAGGAUUUAUAUCUCUGUAAAAUGUUGGAUUAGAUUUUAAAGCUCAGUUUAGAUAAGAUUUAUGACCUGAGUUAUAAACGGAUAGGAAUGGAAAUGUUCUUUAUUAAUUCAACAUUAAAAAGGCAGAUAAGGAGGCUUUUUGCAGGAAGUGGUUUAACACUGGGCUGCAUAAAUUCCCAAUAAAAAUCUGAGACAUCAUCAUUUUUAACAAUUACAUUUAUUUCGUCCUGCCACAGAGUUACAAAGAAAAGUAAGAAAACUUUAGAUUUAUAAAUCUAAAUACAUCUGUUAUUUAUUCACAGAAUACAGAACUAUAACAGAUAAUAAAACAUUUAAUCGGUUUAUUUGCCAUAUUACCUUAA